rnacentral:misc_RNA from 1 species
GUAUUCCUAAAAUCCCUAGGAAUACGUCCUGCAUCACAUGUGCUAGAAAAAAACUGGGAAAGUUAAUGUCAAGAUCAAAGGUUCUUAAAACUAUGGUCUAGAUCAAAGGUUCAUGGAAUUUUAUUAGUUAAGAGCUUGUUCAGUUUUUAAUUUUAAUCUUUUAGGAAUAAAGGAUAUUUUAGUAAUUUUCAGUUUUGCUGGAAUGGGCUGCAUUUGAUGUGUUUGGGAUUAUGAUAGGGAUUCAAAAUUGUAGGUGGGUUGUAAUGGACCUGGGCCACUAAGACUAUAUUCUAGAAGGAAGAUUAAAGGAAAUGCUAAAAGAAUGGCUGUUGAGCUAGACGAUUAUGGAAGAAAAAAAAUAUGUUAAAGGCUGAGCUGGAGGUUGUUA